UACGUAGGGUGCAAGCGUUAAUCGGAAUUACUGGGCGUAAAGCGUGCGCAGGCGGUUGUGCAAGACAGAUGUGAAAUCCCCGGGCUCAACCUGGGAACUGCAUUUGUGACUGCACGGCUGGAGUGCGGCAGAGGGGGAUGGAAUUCCGCGUGUAGCAGUGAAAUGCGUAGAUAUGCGGAGGAACACCGAUGGCGAAGGCAAUCCCCUGGGCCUGCACUGACGCUCAUGCACGAAAGCGUGGGAGC
rnacentral:rRNA from 1 species